AAGCCAGCUUAGUGAGUCUGCUUACCUGAAUAUGUUUGCAGAAAUGUCGAGAAAGCUGGCAAUAGUAAAGCCAUGUUACGAGCCUUAAGACAUUGAAGUCAUUAAGGUCCCUGAAAGUGGCUACAAAA